GGUUCCAUGGUGUACUGUUCAGCACUCUGGACUCUGAAUCCAGUAAUCCGAGUUCAAGUCUCGGUGGAACCU
rnacentral:tRNA from 1 species